rnacentral:lncRNA from 1 species
CUCUGUAUUCGCUUUAUCCUGUUAGUAUGCGUGUAUUGUUUUAUUGCAUGUCAACAAAACAUUUCUGUAUUGAAAAUCCCCAGCUUUGUCAUAGUACAGUCAUAGCCUUGAAAUACUCAUUGUGCUCAAAACAAAUCAAUAUAAGCAGUGGAAUGGCACAGAUGCUUUGGAGUGCAGCUGAUUGUAAACGCAGCCCCAGAUAUGGAAGCUUGACACUGAAGAAGAGAGACACGUGUGAGAACAGAUGUAAAAACAAACUUGGUCUUUUCCGCGGUUAGAGAAGGUGAAAAAACAUGGCAGGUUGUUGGCACACUUGCAUCCCCGUAGCGUAACUCCCUGCCCUCAUUCACUCAAAGCUUAUCUGGCUGUUGCUUCCACGGCUCCAAUUAUUCCCAGCCGUGUGGCCCAUAAUAAGCGUGUGAAGAGGACAAGGGGUUUAGAAAUGGCUGGCCUUCAAACUGGACGACAUUGUUGUCUUUGUUUGCUGUUAUCAUGAUAUUUGCAUAAACGCUUUAGCGAUAUGAAUGUAAAUUUGCUAUUAAAAGUAUCUGGAUUCAGUGAAGAAAGGAAAGGAGGUGAGAAGGCUGUGGUUUUGCUUUGCAUCAGCUUAUUAAAGUGAUAGUUUGCUUAAAACUGAAAAUUUUUCUCCUUCAUGUCAUUCCAAACAUUCUCCUGUGGAACAAAAAAGAUUAUUCUUGAAGAAGGAAAACCUUAUAGGUUGGGAAUGAGAUGAGGGUGGGUAAACUUUCCAUUUAAAUCUGAAAUACAGACCAAAAAUUCUGUUCACACCACCAAAACAUAGUCUCUGUUACUCUGUUUAGUACUUGUCUGAGUGAAAACAAUUCAUGGGCGCAUUUAUAUUGUGUGUCUGACAAAAUUAAAAUGAUAAUAAAAAAAGAUAAAAUCUCCCAGACUCCUAGUUUCUUUGAAGUAGCAACCAACGUGACCUGAGCCACAAAGCCUAGGGUGUGAUAUGACAUCAGUCGCCUGGAUUUCAUUAAAAUCUGGCUUGGAGUCCUUAUUUCAAAAAUAGUUGGGGAAUUGAAAAAUUGAAAACAACGGAAAACAAAGUAUCCACUUUGGCAACCAACGAUGUCCCUUUUCGUGAGACGGUACACUUUGAGUGCCAGAAAGACAUUGUUUCUCAUCAAUAUUUUCAAACUCAGAACUCAUACUUGAAGGGAUAGUUCACCACAAAAUGAAAACCGUUAUUAUUUAUUCACUCUCAUGCCAUUCCAAAUGGCAUUUGUUUUUCUUCAGUGGAACACAAAACUGAUAUUUUGAACAACACAAAGUCGAGUUAAAGACAAUUUUCAUUUUUGAGUGAAUUCACUUAAAUUUUACGAACACCGUUAAAAAGAGAAACUAUCAGGGAUGCAAAAGCUCACAAAAAGGGAGACUGAAUAGUUUAUGAUGAACAACCAAC